AACUAUCGCGCUUUUUAAAUACACACACGCUUCGUCACAUACGACAGGGUCCCGCAUGGGUGCCGUAUGGGAAGCGUGGAGGCCUAACC
rnacentral:sRNA from 1 species